UACGUAGGGCGCAAGCGUUUGUCCGGAAUUACUGGGCGUAAAGGGCUCGUAGGCGGCCAACUAAGUCAUACGUGAAAUCCCUCGGCUUAACCGGGGAACUGCGUCUGAUACUGGAUGGCUUGAGUUCGGGAGAGGGAUGCGGAAUUCCAGGUGUAGCGGUGAAAUGCGUAGAUAUCUGGAGGAACACCGGUGGCGAAGGCGGCAUCCUGGACCGAUACUGACGCUGAGGAGCGAAAGCCAGGGGAGCAAACGGG
rnacentral:rRNA from 1 species